rnacentral:lncRNA from 1 species
GACAGGGUCUUGCUAUGUUGCCCAGGGCGGUCUUAUACUCCUGGCCUCAAGUGAUCCUCCUGCCUCAGCCUCCCGAAGUGCUGAGACUACAAGGCAUGAGAGAUGAAGGAUAGACGGUUCAGAGAGAUGCUCUUCCCCAAGGUAGAAGGCUCUGGCAAAGUUUUUCCCCCGGAGGGUAAAGCCAAAUAUGGAGAAGGCUUUGGUUAUAUUUCAAAGGAUUAGCUUUUUUCCACUGUAAAACUCAUGAUGGAAUCUUUGUCAGAUCUUCACUGUGAGAACCUGGAGACAAACCCUAAGAAAAUGUUGGGCUCCCCUAAGACCACAACCUCCCAGAGUUUCUCACUGGUACUAGUCCACACUCAGCCCCCAG